rnacentral:rRNA from 1 species
GACGAACGCUGGCGGCGUGCCUAAUACAUGCAAGUUGAGCGAUGAAGAUUGGUGCUUGCCCCAAUUUGAAGAGCAGCGAACGGGUGAGUAACGCGUGGGGAAUCUGCCUUUGAGCGGGGGACAACAUUUGGAAACGAAUGCUAAUACCGCAUAACAACUUUAAACAUAAGUUUUAAGUUUGAAAGAUGCAAUUGCAUCACUCAAAGAUGAUCCCGCGUUGUAUUAGCUAGUUGGUGAGGUAAAGGCUCACCAAGGCGAUGAUACAUAGCCGACCUGAGAGGGUGAUCGGCCACAUUGGGACUGAGACACGGCCCAAACUCCUACGGGAGGCAGCAGUAGGGAAUCUUCGGCAAUGGACGAAAGUCUGGCCGAGCAACGCCGCGUGAGGGAAGAAGGGUUUCGGAUCGUAAAACUCUGUUGGUAGAGAAGAACGUUGGUGAGAGUGGAAAGCUCAUCAAGUGACGGUAACUACCCAGAAAGGGACGGCUAACUACGUG